GAACUGCGAUAAGUAAUGUGAAUUGCAGAAUUCAGUGAAUCAUCAAAAUCUUGAACGCACCUUGCGCCUUGAGGUCACUCAAGGCAUGCUUGUUUCAGGGUCAGUUUUUUAACUCUCUACAAACACAUAUGUGUGUGUGUGUGUGUAGGAUAUGGCAGUCGCAGGCUUACGCCUCCGUCUGUUGAAAAAGAUGAGUCCGCCAGCAUACCGAGCUGCUUAUUGCAACCGGCUGGACAACGAUGAGCUUUGAGCGUGGCAUAGCCCGUACAUUCUCAUCAACCAGUUGCGAGCGAUAGGCCUCUUGUUGGCAGACGGCCGCACAAAGUGCUUUACCGCACCGGCGAUUCCUCUUUCAUCAUCUUUGACCUGAAAUCAAGUAGGGCAACCCGCUGAAUUUAA
rnacentral:misc_RNA from 1 species